CCAGUUUAGCCCUAGUGUAAUCCAUAUCUUUGCAGAGAUUUGCUAUGGUCAUCACUGGAG
ensembl:miRNA